CUUUGGGAUAACCCUCGGAAACGGGGGCUAAUACCGGAUAUCCACUUUCUGUCGCAUGGUGGUUGGUGGAAAGUUUUUCGGCUGGGGAUGGGCUCGCGGCCUAUCAGCUUGUUGGUGGGGUGAUGGCCUACCAAGGCGACGACGGGUAGCCGGCCUGAGAGGGCGACCGGCCACACUGGGACUGAGACACGGCCCAGACUCCUACGGGAGGCAGCAGUGGGGAAUAUUGCACAAUGGGCGAAAGCCUGAUGCAGCGACGCCGCGUGAGGGAAGACGGCCUUCGGGUUGUAAACCUCUUUCAGCAGGGACGAAGCGUAAGUGACGGUACCUGCAGAAGAAGCGCCGGCCAACUACGUGCCAGCAGCCGCGGUAAGACGUAGGGCGCGAGCGUUGUCCGGAUUUAUUGGGCGUAAAGAGCUCGUAUGCGGCUUGUCGCGUCGACUGUGAAAACCUGCGGCUCAACCGUGUGGUCUGCAGUCGAUACGGGCAGGCUAGAGUUCGGUAGGGGAGACUGGAAUUCCUGGUGUAGCGGUGAAAUGCGCAGAUAUCAGGAGGAACACCGGUGGCGAAGGCGGGUCUCUGGGCCGAUACUGACGCUGAGGAGCGAAAGCGUGGGGAGCGAACAGGAUUAGAUACCCUGGUAGUCCACGCUGUAAACGUUGGGCGC
rnacentral:rRNA from 1 species